rnacentral:lncRNA from 1 species
GCACUGUAAGACCCCUUCCAUCUUCAAUGUUUAUAUUUAUUAGUUCCUCAAUCUUAGGAACUAGAUAUGUCUGCCAUUUAUGGGAGCGAUCACGUCUCUCAUGCAUCAAUUCCAUCAUCUUAUACUGUGGCAUGUCUACCAUAGGAGUUAUUAGAAGCUGUCGUGCCUCGUUCGUCCAAUUAUUAAAUGACUCCACAAUAUUAAAGUA